UAUGGGAAGACGGUGUACCACUACCUCAUCAGCCAAGACAAGGCGGGCAAGUACUGCAUUCCCGAGGGCACCAAGUUUGACACGCUCUGGCAGCUGGUGGAGUAUCUGAAGCUGAAGGCGGACGGGCUCAUCUACUGCCUGAAGGAGGCCUGCCCCAACAGCAGCGCCAGCAACGCCUCAGGGGCUGCUGCUCCCACACUCCCAGCCCACCCAUCCACGUUGACUCAUGUGAGUUGGGGGCACCUGGAGUGUGGCCUUGGGGAUGGAGCUGGGGGGUGGCUGUGGGGGAGGCUGGGAUGGAGGCUGGGGUGCCUGUUCAGCGGAAGAAGCUCUCUCUCCACUGUCUCUGGGAGUCCUCAGUGGAUAUGGGUCUCAUGAGAGGGGCUGGACGUCCCCAGCUCAGGCCUUGCUGACACUGUGGCCUUUAGCCUCAGAGACGGAUCGACACCCUCAACUCAGAUGGAUACAGCCCUGAGCCAGGUGAGCGGACAGAGGUGGGGAUGCGGGUUGGGGCUCAUGCCGAGCUGAAAGCAGGGUCCCUGUUGGGGCUGUGGGGUUUCACGGGAGACGCCGUGGGCUGGGCCAGGCUGUAGCAGUUGGCUUGGUUAACACCUGUGCACACAUGUGCCCACACUCAUCACACCUGCCUGUGCGCAUGUGUGUCCCAGUGUGUACUGACGUGCAGGGAGCACACUUGGCCUUGCCUGAGGCUCCCCAGACACACAUUUGUUGAGCGCCUACUAUGUGUCAGUCACGUUCUGAGGUCACUGUGUGUAUGAGCCACUGAACCCUCCUGACAUGCCUUAUGAAGUGGCUAUAGUGAUUAACCUCACUUUACAGAUGAGAGAGGGAGGGCUCUGUCUACGGGGAUGUGAGGCAGUGGUGGAGGCGGGAUGUGAACCAAGGAUGGGCCCCAGAGCUCACAUUCCUAAAAUGGUCUGGUGCGGGUGCUCCUGUUUCUUUCUCAUGGGUGGGCCCAGACCUGAACAUGUGUGUGCACAGAGAAGACACAUAGUUACAUGUGCACCCAGAGGCUCACUUUUGGAGGCCUUGUAAAUGUGGCUGUGUGCUGCAUACGCAGACAGGGACAGGCCCGGCCAUAGGCAUACACGUACAAAUGCACACACAUGCACACCCCAGCUGGCAGAGUAAUGGUGCCAUGUGGAUACCAAUACACACGCCCCUAGAGUCCACCCUCAUGUGGCUUCACGGGGCACCCACAGCUGUGGCCAGGAGUGUAUGCCAGUACGUGCGUGUGGAUGUGCAGGAACACGCAUGGGCACCCACCUGCCUGUGCAUGCUCCAGGGACGGCACCCUUGUCUGGGGCAGGUGCUUGUGGGGGCUGAGGCCGCCUUGCUCCCCACGCCCCUGCCUCUGACCUGGGAGUGUACGGCUGUGUGUGCCCAGCACGCGUAACGUCCCCAGACAAACCGCGGCCGAUGCCCAUGGACACGAGCGUGUAUGAGAGCCCCUACAGCGACCCAGAGGAGCUCAAGGACAAGAAGCUCUUCCUGAAACGCGAUAACCUCCUCAUAGCCGACAUUGAACUUGGCUGCGGCAACUUUGGCUCAGUGCGCCAGGGCGUGUACCGCAUGCGCAAGUAUGGCCGCCCCUGCCGUGGUGGGAGCACCGCCGCCUGGGGCAGAGGGGAGUGGCUUCACCAGGCUGUGGGGUGGGAGCCAGGACGCCUGUCCCACAGCAGUUUGCUUGGGAAACAGACUCUGGGGCAGGACAUUGCACGCUGGAGGAUUCCCUGAGAGAGCUCGGGACACCUGACGGGGGUGGGAUGGGGCCUGGGCAGGGGGAGGCGGUGGAGCUGCAAUUCCCAACCCAGGGGAGCUGCAGUGGGGUCCCCGAUCCCUGAGUCCACUGGCCCCUGACAGGCUGCCCCUGGGGAGGGUGUCACUUUGGAUUCUUUUUGGCGAUGGGCUGUUCCUGGUGAGCGAUCCGGCUGUGAGCCGUCCUCAGCAGACGCUCCUGGCUGCAUUGACAUUGAGCGCCUUGGUCCCAACCUGGGUGGCAACCGCAGUUGUGUACCGCACAACUCAAGGAAGAAGAGAGAUGGGUGGGUGGGGGUGUGGGGCCGAGCAGGGCUGGUGCCCCUCGCCCACGUGCCUCCCGUGGCCGGGUUGGGCAGGAAGCAGAUAGACGUGGCCAUCAAGGUGCUGAAGCAGGGCACGGAGAAGGCGGACACGGAGGAGAUGAUGCGCGAGGCGCAGAUCAUGCACCAGCUGGACAACCCCUACAUCGUGCGGCUCAUUGGCGUCUGCCAGGCCGAGGCCCUCAUGCUGGUCAUGGAGAUGGCUGGCGGCGGGCCGCUGCACAAGUUCCUGGUCGGCAAGAAGGAGGAGAUCCCCGUGAGCAAUGUGGCCGAGCUGCUGCACCAGGUGUCCAUGGGGAUGAAGUACCUGGAGGAGAAGAACUUUGUGCACCGUGACCUGGCGGCCCGCAAUGUCCUGCUGGUUAACCGGCACUACGCCAAGAUCAGCGACUUUGGCCUCUCCAAAGCACUGGGUGCCGACGACAGCUACUACACUGCCCGCUCAGCAGGGAAGUGGCCGCUCAAGUGGUACGCACCCGAGUGCAUCAACUUCCGCAAGUUCUCCAGCCGCAGCGAUGUCUGGAGCUACGGGGUCACCAUGUGGGAGGCCUUGUCCUACGGCCAGAAGCCCUACAAGAAGAUGAAAGGGCCGGAGGUCAUGGCCUUCAUCGAGCAGGGCAAGCGGAUGGAGUGCCCACCAGAGUGUCCGCCCGAACUGUACGCACUCAUGAGCGACUGCUGGAUCUACAAGUGGGAGGAUCGCCCCGACUUCCUGACUGUGGAGGAGCGCAUGCGAGCCUGUUACUACAGCCUGGCCAGCAAAGCGGAAGGGCCCCCGGGCAGCGCACAGAAGGCCGAGGCUGCCUGUGCCUGAGCUCCCACUGCCCAGGGCCUGCAGCCCUCCACACCGGCUCUUCCCCGCCCUCAGCCCCACCCCAGGCCCUGCAGUCUGGCUGAGCCCUGCUUACUUGUCUCCACACACAGCUGGGCUGUGGUAGGGGUUGUCUCAGGCCACGCCGGCCUUGCAUUGCCUGCCUGGCCCCCUGUCCUCUCUGGCUGGGGAGCAGGGAGGUCCGGGAGUGUGGGGCUGUGCAGCCUGUCCUGGGCUGGUGGCUCCUGGAGGGCCCUGAGCUGAGGGCGUUGCUUACACGGAUGCCUUCCUCUGGGCCCUUACAUUGGAGCCUGGGUGUCCUCAGGUGGUCAGGCGUAGAUCACCAGAAUAAACUCAGCUUCCCUCUU
rnacentral:sRNA from 1 species